GCCGGUGUGGUGUAGUGGCUAGCACUGAUGUCUUAGAAAUAUUGGACGCGGGUUCAAUCCCCUUGGGGGUCA